rnacentral:rRNA from 1 species
GGGGAAUAUUGGACAAUGGGCGCAAGCCUGAUCCAGCCAUGCCGCGUGAGUGAUGAAGGCCCUAGGGUUGUAAAGCUCUUUCACCGGUGAGGAUAAUGACGGUAACCGGAGAAGAAGCCCCGGCUAACUUCGUGCCAGCAGCCGCGGUAAUACGAAGGGGGCUAGCGUUGUUCGGAAUUACUGGGCGUAAAGCGCACGUAGGCGGAUUGUUAAGUGAGGGGUGAAAUCCCAGGGCUCAACCCUGGAACUGCCUUUCAUACUGGCGAUCUCGAGUUCGAGAGAGGUGAGUGGAAUUGCGAGUGUAGAGGUGAAAUUCGUAGAUAUUCGCAGGAACACCAGUGGCGAAGGCGGCUCACUGGCUCGAUACUGACGCUGAGGUGCGAAAGCGUGGGGAGCAAAC